AGACAGAUGUGAAAUGCCCGGGCUCACCUGGGACUGCAUUUGUGACUGCAUGGCUAGAGUNNUCAGAGGGGGUAGAAUUCACGUGUAGCAGUGAAAUGCGUAAAGAUGUGGAGGAAUACCGAUGGCGAAGGCAGCCCCUGGGAUAACACUGACGCUCAUGCACGAAAGCGUGGGAGCAAACAGGAUUAGAUACCUGGUAGUCCACGCCCUAAACGAUGUCUACUAGUUGUCGGGUCUUAAUUGACUUGGUAACGCAGCUAACGCGUGAAGUAGACCGCCUGGGGAGUACGGUCGCAAGAUUAAAACUCAAAGGAAUUGACGGGGACCCGCACAAGCGGUGGAUGAUGUGGAUUAAUUCGAUGCAACGCGAAAAACCUUACCUACCCUUGACAUGGCUGGAAUCCUUAAGAGAUUAGGGAGUGCUCGCAAGAGAACCAGUACACAGGUGCUGCAUGGCUGUCGUCAGCUCGUGUCGUGAGAUGUUGGGUUACGUCCCGCAACGAGCGCAACCCUUGUCAUUAGUUGCUACGAAAGGGCACUCUAAUGAGACUGCCGGUGACAAACCGGAGGAAGGUGGGGAUGACGUCAAGUCCUCAUGGCCCUUAUGGGUAGGGCUUCACACGUCAUACAAUGGUACAUACAGAGGGCCGCCAACCCGCGAGGGGGAGCUAAUCCCAGAAAGUGUAUCGUAGUCCGGAUUGUAGUCUGCAACUCGACUGCAUGAAGUUGGAAUCGCUAGUAAUCGCGGAUCAGCAUGUCGCGGUGAAUACGUUCCCGGGUCUUGUACACACCGCCCGUCACACCAUGGGAGCGGGUUUCACCAGAAGUAGGUAGCUUAACCGCAAGGAGGGCGCUUACCACGGUGGGAUUCGUGACUGGGGUGAAGUCGU
rnacentral:rRNA from 1 species